AAGUCCUACAAUUUCCAAAGGACUUGAACGCAGCGUCAACAAGGAAACGAAACGUUACUGCGGCCCCCCAACAAGCAUCAAACUGAAGAAGUUAGCAUUACUACAGUCAGCUGCCCGGUGAGUUCCUUGGUACAGCACCCCUCCGCACAAAACCCCCGCAAAGGCAGAGGAAAGCCGCGUGGCUCCAAACGACCAGGAGAAAAUAAGUAUUAUUAACUUCCACAGAGUAAUGUCAGUAUUAACAACGUUACAGAUAGUUUCAGGUAGUCGCUAGUCGUUUCGACCAAGUCAUCUGUGUCGUGACGAGGAGGGCUUCCUCGCUGUGUUGAUUUCUUUCAGAACCGGCAGCCGAUAACGGUUAAACAAGUGGAGAUGCCUCAAAAACAGAGGUCCAAGACCUGGACGGAGCUGAAACAAGCUGGAAAUGAAUGUUUCAAGACGGGCCAGUAUGGAGAGGCCACCAAUAUUUACAGCCAGGCAAUCAAAGAGCUGGAGAAGUCCA